ensembl:lncRNA
GCCAUCCACAUAUCCAACAUAAAAGAGGCCCUGGUGCUAUCACUGGUGCAGAUAUUCCCGGCCCUGAAUGAUGGAUCAGACAGUGGCUAUGAAAUAUGGUACACAAAAGCCAGGAAGGUAAUGAAGGAUGGAGGAGUGAUCCACUACCCAGCCACAAGCUUCCUCGAAGAAAGACUAUGGAACGUUAGAAAGAGGUCAAACCGUGGGUCCACCCAACAAAUGCCUGAAGCCACCCAGUCACCAAGGGCAUACAUACCAGAAUCAACCGUUCCAGAAGAAAGGGCCCUCCAACAGAAGGAAUGGCUGAAACACAAUUCAGAGCCUUUCACCCAAGUGCAGUCCUACAUGAAGGACACAGUGUUAUGCAGACCCAGCUGGAUCCGGGCUAAUGGUAUGGUUCCACUGGAACAUAUAGUAGCAAUACCUUAUUUACAUUUUGUAUUAAAGGAGCGGAUAUCACAUUUUUUCCUUUGUAUCCUGUGUUUUUUUUGGAUUGCUGCAUGGUAAGGCUGCACCUAAAUUAUUUGAGACCUGGAUCCCUGAAUAUGCUAAAAAACGUUCCUGUACUUGGCCAAGCAGGACAAUAAACUCCCUUCACUUACUGUUGAGGACA